GUUCCUGUAGUUGAAGUACAACAAUGAUUUUUCAUGUCAUUAGUCGUGGUUUGAGGCCAUGCGGGAAUA
rnacentral:tRNA from 1 species